GACGAACGCUUGCGGCGUGCUUAACACAUGCAAGUCGAACGGAAAGGCCCUGCUUUUGUGGGGUGCUCGAGUGGCGAACGGGUGAGUAACACGUGAGUAACCUGCCCUUGACUUUGGGAUAACUUCAGGAAACUGGGGCUAAUACCGGAUAGGAGCUCCUGCUGCAUGGUGGGGGUUGGAAAGUUUCGGCGGUUGGGGAUGGACUCGCGGCUUAUCAGCUUGUUGGUGGGGUAGUGGCUUACCAAGGCUUUGACGGGUAGCCGGCCUGAGAGGGUGACCGGCCACAUUGGGACUGAGAUACGGCCCAGACUCCUACGGGAGGCAGCAGUGGGGAAUAUUGCACAAUGGGCGGAAGCCUGAUGCAGCAACGCCGCGUGCGGGAUGACGGCCUUCGGGUUGUAAACCGCUUUCGCCUGUGACGAAGCGUGAGUGACGGUAAUGGGUAAAGAAGCACCGGCUAACUACGUGCCAGCAGCCGCGGUGAUACGUAGGGUGCGAGCGUUGUCCGGAUUUAUUGGGCGUAAAGGGCUCGUAGGUGGUUGAUCGCGUCGGAAGUGUAAUCUUGGGGCUUAACCCUGAGCGUGCUUUCGAUACGGGUUGACUUGAGGAAGGUAGGGGAGAAUGGAAUUCCUGGUGGAGCGGUGGAAUGCGCAGAUAUCAGGAGGAACACCAGUGGCGAAGGCGGUUCUCUGGGCCUUUCCUGACGCUGAGGAGCGAAAGCGUGGGGAGCGAACAGGCUUAGAUACCCUGGUAGUCCACGCUGUAAACGGUGGGUACUAGGUGUGGGGUCCAUUCCACGGGUUCCGUGCCGUAGCUAACGCUUUAAGUACCCCGCCUGGGGAGUACGGCCGCAAGGCUAAAACUCAAAGGAAUUGACGGGGCCCCGCACAAGCGGCGGAGCAUGCGGAUUAAUUCGAUGCAACGCGUAGAACCUUACCUGGGUUUGACAUGGAUCGGGAGUGCUCAGAGAUGGGUGUGCCUCUUUUGGGGUCGGUUCACAGGUGGUGCAUGGCUGUCGUCAGCUCGUGUCGUGAGAUGUUGGGUUAAGUCCCGCAACGAGCGCAACCCUUGUUCACUGUUGCCAGCACGUUAUGGUGGGGACUCAGUGGAGACCGCCGGGGUCAACUCGGAGGAAGGUGGGGAUGACGUCAAGUCAUCAUGCCCCUUAUGUCCAGGGCUUCACGCAUGCUACAAUGGCUGGUACAGAGAGUGGCGAGCCUGUGAGGGUGAGCGAAUCUCGGAAAGCCGGUCUCAGUUCGGAUUGGGGUCUGUAACUCGACCUCAUGAAGUCGGAGUCGCUAGUAAUCGCAGAUCAGCAACGCUGCGGUGAAUACGUUCCCGGG
rnacentral:rRNA from 1 species